rnacentral:lncRNA from 1 species
GCGAAAUGGAAGAAGUUAGGUGUCCAGAGCACGGGACUUUCUGCUUUCUUAAGACCGGCGUCCGCGAUGGCCCGAAUAAAGGAAAGAGCUUCUACGUGUGCCGGGCAGACACGUGCAGCUUCGUGCGGGCCACCGAGUAGCAUUCCUGUUUCCCAUUGCUUAUUGCAUGAGGACUUUGUGGUAGAGCUUCAGGGUUUGCUUCUGCCACAGGACAAGAAAGAAUACAGGAUCCUGAUUCCAAAGAACAUUCUGUAUCCAAUAAGUCUCAGCAUGCAUCUGAGACAUUUCAUCAUUCUUCCAACUGGCUGAGAAAUCCAUUCAAGGUACUUGACAAGAAUCAAGAACCAGCUCUCUGGAAACAGCUCAUCAAAGGUGAAGGUGAGGAAAAGAAGGCUGAUAAGAAGCAAAGAGAAAAGGGAGAUCAGCUUUUCGAUCAAAAGAAAGAACAGAAGCCUGAAAUGAUGGAGAAAGACCUCUCAUCUGGCCUGGUACC